rnacentral:rRNA from 1 species
AUUGAACGCUGGCGGCAGGCCUAACACAUGCAAGUCGAACGAGUGGCGGACGGGUGUGUAAUGUGUGGGAAACUGCCUGAUGGAGGGGGAUAACUACUGGAAACGGUAGCUAAUACCGCAUACCAUCAGAUGUGCCCAGGUGGGAUUUGCUAGUUGGUGGGGUAACGGCUCACCAAGGCGAAGCGCCCUAGCUGGUCUGAGAGGAUGACCGUCCCCAUUGGAACUGAGACACGGUCACGACUCCUACGGGAGGCAGCAGUGGGGAAUAUUGCACAAUGGGCGCAAGCCUGAUGCAGCCAUGCCGCGUGUAUGAAGAAGGCCUUCGGGUUGUAAAGUACUUUCAGCCGGGAGGCGUUACCCACAGAAGAAGCACCGGCUAACUCCGUGCCAGCAGCCGCGGUAAUUC